GAUGAACGCUAGCGGCAGGCCUAAUACAUGCAAGUCGAACGAGAUUAAGAGGCUUGCUUCUUAUGAAAGUGGCGCACGGGUGCGUAACGCGUAUGCAACCUACCUUAAUCAGAGGGAUAGCCCGAAGAAAUUCGGAUUAAGACCGCAUAAAAACACAGGAUAGCAUUAUCCAAUGUUCAAAUAUUUAUAGGAUUAAGAUGGGCAUGCGUGUCAUUAGCUAGUUGGCGGGGUAACGGCCCACCAAGGCGACGAUGACUAGGGGAUCUGAGAGGAUGACCCCCCACACUGGUACUGAGACACGGACCAGACUCCUACGGGAGGCAGCAGUAAGGAAUAUUGGUCAAUGGAGGGAACUCUGAACCAGCCAUGCCGCGUGCAGGAAGACAGCCCUCUGGGUCGUAAACUGCUUUUAUUCGGGAAUAAACCUUUCUACGUGUAGGAAGCUGAAUGUACCGAAGGAAUAAGGAUCGGCUAACUCCGUG
rnacentral:rRNA from 1 species